ensembl:lncRNA
CUGUUUAUUUUAUGACGAGGGUGCGGUAGAUGUCAUGGGCUGAAUGUCAAUCUUUGCACACUCCAAAUGAAACGUGCUCAUCAGAGCUGAAUACACAUGCAGACUACAGUGUAUGUAUACAUACUGUACCUAUGGAUGAAUGACUCAGGACUGUUUGGGCCCUCUGGUCAUGUCUGUAGAGAUGCUGAGCAUAAGCAAUAACCUCUACAGACCAUUUCCCUGCUUUGAUUAGUUGAGGCUUUGCACAAAGAAGCCAAUUCCUGAUCCUCAAUCUUUUUUUAUAAUAAGGAUGGAGGGUUUUAUAUUUUCCACUCUACUCUUCCGGUAGUCGCGUGCGUCCACGGUAAAGUGCCGCGGGUCAGCGCCGCGGGUCAGCGCCGCGAGCUCGCUGCUGAUCCGUGUGCGACGCUUCGCUGCCGGCACAAAUCUGCCAUCAACAUGUAACAUGGGAGGAAAUGUCACAUAUGAACAUUUCUGGCAAGGACACGAUGACGCGUGACGCUCAGUGCUUCUGCGGAACCGGCUGCUGAUAGAAGUGUGAGCAUCAAAUAAAGGCAGUUAUGUUAAUACAUGUCACGCACGGAUGCCUCAUAAGCAGCCAGUCUCUGAUGCAGAAGCACAGAAGCUGCUGGUUCGUUUGCCAAGAACAACGCCCACCAGAACCGGGCCUCACCCCGGUGUCGAUGCUGUUUGGCUGCAGAGCGGAGAAAGCUGAGCGGCUGCAGAGGAAGCAGGGCACAUAUGGACGAGCGCUCGUAACGAACGCCUUCGCGCUCCACAUGAAACAGAACGACGCCGUGGAGCUGAGCCCACGCGCUGCACGGGGGGUGCGGCGUGGGCUCUGCGCUGGCUUCAGUCAGAGGAAGCCGACCCGCUGCACCGGAUCAGAACCACCGUCGUAGCUGCUUCAUUCAGCUAAAGGGAACAGCGGGAAACACAUGAAGCCUGUUCUCAUCCUGUUUGUCUUCUUCCACAGAUGCAGUUUUCACCAGACACCGGUUCUCAUACAAUGAGAUGCUGCAUUAAGUCCUUUAGGUAAAUGGAGCCCACGCUCUGAUUAUCCUCAGAUUUACUUCUGGGGCUUUGAGAACUCGGGUCUAUACGUACUGCACAUGGUGAAGGCGAACAGAAUGCGGUUUACGGGAAACGCUGCAAACCGUCUCUUUAAGCCCGAGGCUCCGGUUCCAGCAGCUCAAAGAAACACCAUUAAAUCCUGAGGUGAGCUUUGAACUGGGGCAAAAUGGGCUCAUUGGAGAAAACGGAGCCUCGCGUACAUUUACUGAAAAUCAAUCUGCAGCCUGUUCCCAUCGUGCAAAACGAUGAAGGGGAACAGAGGCCGACUGCAAAAUGAUUCUAGGGAACCAGUCUCAGGUUUGAUUCAUGAAGCUUCAAUAUGAAGGUGAGGCGUCGCUGAGCGUCUCCCUGUGGAUCGGCCAGUAUCUGCUUGGACCUGUGACUUCUUGACUGAUCAACGGGACAAAGGAGCUGCUGCUCGUUCUCGCUGCCAAUUAGCGCCAUGAUGCCCGUUAGUUUCCCUCCAGCUCCUGUAAUUGGAUCUCAAUUGGAAAACAUGGCGCCCGUUUCUCUUCCUCCUCUGCUUCCAACUGAGCGCGGAUCCGUUGUUUAUACAGCGGUUUAGCGGCUUUGCACCACUUUACUGGGAUUUGCUGAAUUCAUGUCGUGCUGCAGCUGUUGGAGUUGCUAGAGUGUAAAAUUGCUCAGAGUGGAUUAGUUUGCACCGGACACCUCAUUAAACUCUGCACUAGCUCACCUCUGAAUAUGAUUCUCCUACAAGACGGAUGGAAGUAACACAAAUGAAGUGGAUUUAAAGAAACAAAGACCGCAGGAAUCCGCUGGAUCAGUACAGGUCCUGUUUGUUUGGACGCUGCUCUCGUCAGCCGC